UUUAUUGGAGAGUUUGAUCCUGGCUCAGGAUGAACGCUGGCGGCGUGCCUAAUACAUGCAAGUCGAGCGAAUGGAUUAAGAGCUUGCUCUUAUGAAGUUAGCGGCGGACGGGUGAGUAACACGUGGGUAACCUGCCCAUAAGACUGGGAUAACUCCGGGAAACCG
rnacentral:rRNA from 1 species